rnacentral:rRNA from 1 species
GUGGGGAAUAUUGCACAAUGGGCGCAAGCCUGAUGCAGCCAUGCCGCGUGUAUGAAGAAGGCCUUCGGGUUGUAAAGUACUUUCAGCGGGGAGGAAGGUGUUGUGGUUAAUAACCGCAGCAAUUGACGUUACCCGCAGAAGAAGCACCGGCUAACUCCGUGCCAGCAGCCGCGGUAAUACGGAGGGUGCAAGCGUUAAUCGGAAUUACUGGGCGUAAAGCGCACGCAGGCGGUCUGUCAAGUCGGAUGUGAAAUCCCCGGGCUCAACCUGGGAACUGCAUUCGAAACUGGCAGGCUGGAGUCUUGUAGAGGGGGGUAGAAUUCCAGGUGUAGCGGUGAAAUGCGUAGAGAUCUGGAGGAAUACCGGUGGCGAAGGCGGCCCCCUGGACAGGUACUGACGCUGAGGCGCGAAAGCGUGGGGAGCAAACAGGAUUAGAAACCCCAGUAGUCC